CCGUCAGAGGACCAGAAGCACCUCCUCGGGCCUCUUGGAAAGCUCACUCUUGGAAGACUCUUUCUAAGAACCCAGCUGCCAUGCUGAGAGAAACUCAAGCCACCCGGAUAUGGGCCACCUGGAGAUACUCCUAGACGGACCCAGGCGAGCUCACAGCCAGCCGCCAGCAUCACCAGCAUGUCUGGGGAGGAGCACCUUUCCAUCUGGUCCAGGCCAGGCUUCACAGGACUCCAACUGUCAUCUGACUACACCCAGGGGAUCUUCCCAACCCAGGGAUCGAGCCCACGUCUUCUGCAUUGGCAGGCAGGUUCUCUACCACUGAGCCACGAGGAAAGCCCUUGUGUUACAGCAGCCCUUUACCUCCUGAGAGGAGCGCUCCGGGAGAGCAGUGUAUCCCUAGCUCCAGAACCAGCAAUUAGGAGUUGCCAAAAUCUCUUAACUUCACACAAUAGUGCAGCCUCACUGACUUCAUGCUCAUCUGCAGAACAUACAGGAUGGAAGCAAAAAUGGCGAUGGAGAGGGUCGCACCUUGAGGAGUGUGGCAUUUUAUUUCCCCAAACAAGGAUGAAAUCCACACACUCUACAUUGGCAGAAUGGAGUUUUAACUACUAGACUGACAGUGAAGAAUUGGAAUGGGGAUUACAAUAGCAAUUCUGCCUUCACCAAUACUACUGUCAGACAUGGAAGGCUGGGGAGCAUUUUCCACAACGGUUGUGACCAGGUUUGAAUAAAUCCCUGAGUAGAUCUUUCAUCUCUUCUGAAAAUGGCUUCUAUCUUUACAUCACUCCUAUAGCAUUGCUAAAAGGGCGUCUCUCUCACUCUAUCUCGGUGCUGUUGGAGAGUGUUUGCUUCGGGGUUUUUGCCAGCUUCCCUUUGCAACAGCGAGCAACUGCUUAACAAAUGGCAGGUCUAUGUAAGAGGAAAUCUCUGUGGUUUAAUGUACUUUUGUUUCUUGUCAGUAUGCAACUUCUGUUUUUGUUCGCUUAUAAUCAUCUUGUAACCCACGUGGAAAGUCAAAGAAACCAAGGC
ensembl:lncRNA